UCUGGUUGGUGGUUUGGGGUCACAUGGGGUGGAUCUGGGAUCUGGUUGGUGGUUUGGGGUCACAUGGGGUAGAUCUGGGAUCUGGUUGGGGUCACAUGGGGUAGAUCUGGGAUCUGGUUGGUGGUUUGGGGUCAUAUGGGGUAGAUCUGGGAUCUGGUUGGUAUAUUGGGUUUGGGGUCACACGGGGUAGAUCUGGGAUCUGGUUGGUAGUUUGUGGUCACACGGGGUGGAUCUGUGGUUGGUGGUUUGGGGUCACAUGGGGUGGAUCUGGGAUCUGGUUGGUGGUUUGUGGUCACAUGGGGUGGAUCUGGUUGGUGGUUUGGGGUCACAUGGGGUAGAUCUGGGAUCUGGUUG